rnacentral:rRNA from 1 species
UCCGACCUGCACGAAUGGUGUAACGAUCUGGACACUGUCUCAGCCAUGAGCUCGGUGAAAUUGUAGUAUCGGUGAAGAUGCCGAUUACCCGCAGUGGGACGAAAAGACCCCGUGAACCUUUACUAUAGCUUAGUAUUGGCUUUGGAUAAGUAAUGUGUAGGAUAGGUGGGAGACUUCGAUCGUGCGUCGCUAGGCGUGCGUGAGUCAUUGUUGAAAUACCACCCUUUGCUUAUCUAGAGUCUAACCUCUAACCAGGGACAGUGCUUGGUGGGUAGUUUGACUGGGGUGGUCGCCUCCAAAAGAGUAACGGAGGC